GUGUAGCGGUGAAAUGCGUAGAGAUGUGGAGGAACACCAGUGGCGAAGGCGACUCUCUGGUCUGUAACUGACGCUGAGGCGCGAAAGCGUGGGGAGCGAACAGGAUUAGAUACCCUGGUAGUCCACGCCGUAAACGAUGAGUGCUAAGUGUUAGAGGGUUUCCGCCCUUUAGUGCUGCAGCAAACGCAUUAAGCACUCCGCCUGGGGAGUACGGUCGCAAGACUGAAACUCAAAGGAAUUGACGGGGGCCCGCACAAGCGGUGGAGCAUGUGGUUUAAUUCGAAGCAACGCGAAGAACCUUACCAGGUCUUGACAUCCUCUGACAACCCUAGAGAUAGGGCUUCCCCUUCGGGGGCAGAGUGACAGGUGGUGCAUGGUUGUCGUCAGCUCGUGUCGUGAGAUGUUGGGUUAAGUCCCGCAACGAGCGCAACCCUUGAUCUUAGUUGCCAGCAUUCAGUUGGGCACUCUAAGGUGACUGCCGGUGACAAACCGGAGGAAGGUGGGGAUGACGUCAAAUCAUCAUGCCCCUUAUGACCUGGGCUACACACGUGCUACAAUGGGCAGAACAAAGGGCAGCGAAGCCGCGAGGCUAAGCCAAUCCCACAAAUCUGUUCUCAGUUCGGAUCGCAGUCUGCAACUCGACUGCGUGAAGCUGGAAUCGCUAGUAAUCGCGGAUCAGCAUGCCGCGGUGAAUACGUUCCCG
rnacentral:rRNA from 1 species